rnacentral:rRNA from 1 species
GAUGAACGCUGGCGGCGUGCCUAAUACAUGCAAGUCGAGCGAACAGAUGAGGAGCUUGCUCCUCUGACGUUAGCGGCGGACGGGUGAGUAACACGUGGAUAACCUACCUAUAAGACUGGGAUAACUUCGGGAAACCGGAGCUAAUACCGGAUAAUAUAUUGAACCGCAUGGUUCAAUAGUGAAAGACGGUUUUGCUGUCACUUAUAGAUGGAUCCGCGCCGCAUUAGCUAGUUGGUAAGGUAACGGCUUACCAAGGCAACGAUGCGUAGCCGACCUGAGAGGGUGAUCGGCCACACUGGAACUGAGACACGGUCCAGACUCCUACGGGAGGCAGCAGUAGGGAAUCUUCCGCAAUGGGCGAAAGCCUGACGGAGCAACGCCGCGUGAGUGAUGAAGGUCUUCGGAUCGUAAAACUCUGUUAUUGGGAAGAACAAAUGUGUAAGUAACUAUGCACGUCUUGACGGUACCUAAUCAGAAAGCCACGGCUAACUACGUG